UCCGGACUUCGGUUCCACCUCCCCGCUGCAAAUCUGUGCUCUGCGCGCGCGGCCGCCAGCCGGGCAAAGAUCUGGCUGCGUGUGGGAAAAGAUAGUAACCUGGAAACAGGCCAUCCUCAACAAGUAUAAUGCUAGGUAUAGACAGUGUCUCUUGACUCCCAGCUUUAAAAGAUGAAGAUGCCAGCAUCUCUAACCUUCCAGUUGUAUCCUGUUUUUUGGACUCCCUGUUUUCUUUCCUGGUUUAACCCCUCAUCUUUUUGAAGCACAUCUUCAAGUAGUUUUCUAAGAAAAAGAGCUAGUAGGUAAAAUUUCUAUGUUCUUGCAUGUCUGAAUAUUUAAUCUUAUACUUUAAUUCUUUGGUUAAUUACAAACUUCUAGAAAAAAGAAUUUUCCCUCUGAAUUAUUUUAAAUUAAGAAAUUUAAAAAUUAUUUGCUAUUUUCCCUUACAGCUUUGUUAUGUAUCAGUUGUAUUUCUUAAAUUCCUUACUUUUCAUUUUGAAAAAUAUCAAAUCUAUAAAAAAAUGGAAGGAAUAGUGAAAAGAACACCUAUAUGUCCUUCACAUAGAUCCACUAAUCAUUAAGAUUUUGCCAUAUUUGGUAUAUCUUUCUGUCUACACACAUGUGGUGUGCAUGCAUACACACACACACACACAAAUGCACAUACACAUGCACAGUUUUUCUGAACCAUUUAAUGUAACUUUCAGAUAUCAUGUCACUUCACCCCAAGUAUAUAUAUCCUAAGAACAAAGACAUUCUCAUGCAUAACUACACUACAGUUAUUGCACUCAAUAAAGUAAUGUAAAUAAAAUAAUAUCAUCUAACUGAUAUACAACCCACUUUUGUCUCUCUCUAAUUGUUCAAAUAAACUUCUCCACAGCUGUUUGUUUUCUUGUCAAUCCAUGAUUCAGUUGUGUUUAGUAGUCAAUCUCUUUGAAGGUAUAUCAUCUGUUUUCUAACAUUUGGUGUUGGUGAUAAAAAAUCUGAAUUUUGUUCCUUCAUAAGUGGUAUUUUUUUCCUUGCGGAAGCUUUUAGAGUAUUUUCUUUUUUUCCCAGUGUUCUAAAAUUUUGCAGACAUGUGGGUCUUUUAAAAGACCUUGUGCUGUUUGCUCUGUAGGUACUUUCAAUCUGAAAACGUGUAACUUUAACCUUUUGGAGAUAUUGUUGUAUUGCUCAUUUGAUAAUGUUUCCCCUCUGAUUUCUAUCUUUCUUUAUCUGGAAUGCCUGUAAAACUGGGCCUCCCGGAAAGGUCUUCUGAGUCUCAUUUCUUUCAUGUCUCCCAUCUCAUGGUCUUUUUGCUCUGCUUUCUGGAAGAUUUUUUCUGUUUUAUCUUCUGGGCCUUCAAUUUAUUUCAGCAUGAUAUUUUCAUUCUGUAAGAGCCCUUUCUUGUUCUCUGAUUGUCCUGUUUACUUAGUAUCUUGUUUAUGAUUUUGAAUGCAAUAACUUCCUGAAUAUAGUUAUGAUUAUAAUUAGAAAAAUUUAUUAAUUCUCUUCUAUUUCCUGAAUUAGUUUUCUUUCCUUUGAGGUUGUUUUUUUCCUGUUUGUGGUACUUUUUUAAGGCAGCCCUUAGCAAAUGAAUACAAAUUUCUGUCUCUCUUUCUUUCCCUCCCUUCCCUCCUUCUUCCUCCCUCCCUCCCUCCCUCCCUUCCUUCUCUCCUUCCUUCUUCCUUCUUUCUCCUCCUCUUCCUCCUCCUCCCUUUUCUUCUUUGUUAUUUAAUGGAAGAACUCUCAGGUGUUUCACUUGGAGAGUUGAUCUUUGGAGGCCCUGCAUUCUGAACGAGGGGAGGAGCUAAGGACUGGACUGUUUAAGACAGAGCCUUUGGAGUAAUCCCAGUGUUUUUGGCCCGGUCUCACUUGCGUACUCUGUCUUAUGCCUCUCUGGAAUUCUGUAGGGAAGAUCGGCAACCUCCUCUGCGGUGUGUCAUCUGUCAUUACUUCUGUAUCAGCUUGACACAGUCUCACAAUUUUUUUUAAAACUUUCUUCCACUGAUGGACAACUUCCUGUUCUCUUUGUCAUUGUGGAUUUAUUCCCAUUUUAGUCCUUUACUAUCAUUUUUGUAGGGUCUUAGGGGGAAGAAGAGAAAAACUGAGUGGCCAGCCCAUCAUUUUGAAAAUAGCACUUAUUUUCUUGUCUCCAACUUGCAGUUUUGAUCUUUUUAGCUGAGAAGUUAUUUAGGAGGCUUGUAUCAGUCAGGAUGGGCUAGGCUAUGCUGUAUAACAAAACUCUCAAAAUAUUAAUGGCUUAAAAUAGCAAAAGUUUAUUUCUUGCUCACCGAGGUUGGCUGGUGGCUUUGCUCCAGGUCUCCCCACUCUGAGACCCAGGCUAACAGAGCAGCUGCCAUCUUGCUGUUGCCAGUUGCCAUGGCAGAGAUAACCUAGUGAAUCUUGCACUGUCCCUUUAAGUUUCCACCCAGAAAUGAUACCCAUCAUUUCUCUUCAUAUUUCAUUGGCCAAAGAAAAUCAUUUGACUAUUCUUAACAUCAAAGGGGGUGAAGAAGUACAAUCCUACCCUGUGCCUAGAAAAUGGAAAGCUGGAAAUGUCUGUUGAACAGUACAAUGAACCACCAGAAGAUUGUAAAAUUUCAAGUGUUUGAAUUCUAAAAACUUUUAACACUUGAAUUAAAAAAAAAUUGCACUGGAAUCAGAGAAUGUAGGCUUGUAUAAAAUUCCUGAGAUUUUUUCAUUGCAUUAUUUGUGACUGAUUUUUUAAAAUGCUUUAUGGGAUUGGGAAAGGUGUACCCUUUGUUGGUUGUAGACAAGUUUGACACAUACACAACAUGAAGCUAUUUAUAUCUUCUAUAUACCUGUUAAUUUUUUUAUAUACCAGAUCUAUCAAAGACUAAAGAAUUAUUUAAAGUUCUUACCAUACUAUUGUGUUUCUGUAGAUUUCUCCUUGUUUUUAUAACAGUUUUGCACUCAUAUUUACCUUGUAAGAGUUCAUAGUAUAUAUGCAUUUUCUAUUUUGUUUAAAUAACCUUUGUCUCAAUUAAUAGGACUUUUAUUUUAUUUAUUUAUUUUAAAAUUAAUUAAUUAAUGUAUUUAUUUUUGGCUGUGUUGGGUCUUCAUUGCUGCUCACGGCUUUCUCUAGUUGUGGUGAGCGGGGGCUACUCUUCGUUGCAGUGCGUGACCUUCUCAUAGCAGUGGCUUCUCUUGUUGCAGAGCACCGGCUCGGCACGUGGGCUUCAGUAGUUGUGGCACUUGGGCUCAGUAGUUGUGGUGCACAGGCUUAGUGGCUCCACAGCAUGUGGGAUCUUCCCGGACCAGGGCUCGAACCCACGUCCCCUGCAUUGGCAGGCAGAUUCUUAACCACUGCGCCACCAGGGAAGUCCCCUAAUGGGACUUUUAAAUUCUUGUUCCAUUGCCACGUGUCUUCUGUACUCUCUUAGGAUCUCAAAGUGCUUUUUAUAAUUUUAAAAUUUUUUUUAAUUUUUAAUUUUUUAAAAGUGAUAUUGAAUUUGGUGAUGAUUUCCUGGAUAUGACACCAAAAGCAUAGGCAACAAAAGUAAAAAUAGAUAUAUUGGACUUCAUCAAAAUUAAAACUUUCAGGACACUAUCAACACAAUGAAAAGGCAACCUACAGAAUGAGAGAAAAUAUUUGCAAAUGAUAUAUCUGAUAAGGGGUUGAUGUCUAGAAUAUAGAGAACUCCUACAAUUCAACAAUGAAACAAACAACCCAAUUCAAAAUGGGCAAAGGACUUGAAUAGACAUUUCUGCAAAGAAGAUAUACAAAUGGUCAACAAGCACAUGAAAAGGUGCUCAACAUCACUAGUUACUAGGAAAUGCAAGUCAAAACCACAGUGACAGGGAACUAUAUUCAAUAUCUUAUAAUAACCUAUAAUGGAAAAGGAUCUGAAAAAGUAUGUGUAUAUAUCAUAUAUAUAUAAUAUAUAUACAUAUCACUUUGAUGUACACCUGAAACUAAUGCAACAUUGUAAAUCAACUAUACUUCAAUUAAAAAAAACAAAACCACAGUGAGAUACCACCUCACAACCAUUGGGAUGACUACUAUCAAAAACACAGAAAAUAGCAAGUGUUGAGGAGAUUGUGGAAAAAUUGGAACCUUUGUUCACUGUUGCUGGGAAUGUAAAAUGGUGCAGUUGCUAUGGAAAGUAGUAUGUUGGUUCCUCAAAAAAUUAAACAUAGAAUUACCAUAUGAUCUAGUAAUACAUUUUUGGGUAUAUACUCAAAGGAAUUGAAAUCAGGGUCUUGAAGAGAUAUUUGCACACCCAUGUUCAUAGCAUCAUUAUUCACAAUAGCCAUAAGGUGGAAGCAACCCAUUCACCCAUUGAUGAAUGAAUGGAUAAACAAAAUGUGGUAUAGACAUACAACGGAAUAUACUCAGCCUUGAAAAGGAAGGAAAUUGGAACAGGUACUACAACAUGGAUGAACCUUGAAGUUGUUAUGCUAAGUGAAAUAGGCCAGUUACAAAAAGUCAUGUACUGUAUGAUUUUACUUAUAUGAAGCACUUAGAUGCUGUGGACUGAAUUGUGUCCACCCUAAAUUCAUAUGUUGACGCCCUAACUCCCAAUGUGGCUGCAUUUGGAGACAGGUUCUUUAAAGAGGUGAUUAUGGGUGGGGCCCAAUAUCGCUAGUGUCUUUAUAAGAAGAGACCAGGGAUGCAUGCACACAGAGAAAAGGCCAUGUGAGGACACAGUGAGAAGAUGGCCAUCUCCAAGCCAAGGAGAGAGAUCUCAGGAGAAACCGAAACUGUCAGUACUUGAUCUUGGACUUGUAGGCUUCAGGACUGUGAAAAAAUAAAUUUCUGUAUUUUAAGCCACCCAGCCUGUGGUAAUUUGUUAUGGCAACCUUAGCAGAUUAAUAUACCAGAGUAGUCAAAUUCAUAGAGACAGAAGGUAGGAUGGUGGUUUCCAGGGUCUGGGAGGAGAAGGGAAUGGAGAGUUAUGCAAUGGGUACAGGGUUCAAGUUUGGCAAGAUAAAUUCUGGAGAUUGGUUGCACGACAAUGUGAAUGUGCUUAACAUGGCUGAACUGGACGUUUAAAAAUGGUUAAGAUGGUAAAUUUUAUAUUAUGUAUAUUUUAUCACAGUUAAAAAUAAACAUGUUUUUAAUUGUGAUAAAAUAUACAUAAUAUAAAAUUUACCUUCUACCAUAGCCCUAUUUUUCUCCUCUCCUUUAUAGCAAAACUGAAAAAAGUAGUUUCUGUUUGCUAUCUCCACUUCUUCAUGGCUCACUUUCUCUUGAACCGUUCCAAUUAGGAUUUUCUGAAGCUGCCUUGUUCAGGGUUACUGAGAUAAUUUCAAUCCAUCAGCAGCAAUGUUGCUCUCUCGCUCCUCCUUGAGAUACUUGCCCCAUGAUCUCCUAGUUUUCCUCUCGCUUUUCCUUUGUAGGAUGGGGCUUGCCCCUCCUCCUGACUUUAUCUGCAAGUUACCCCAGGACUCUGCCCCAGGCUUUUUAUACUCACCCCCUGGCAAUCUCAUCCAGUGCCAUCUAUCCACUGGUGAAUUUCAGGUUCUGUCUCCAGCCCACCCUCCCUUGGAACCCAACGCAGGACAUCCACCCGCCCACCCCACAUCGUCACAAGGAUGUCGACCAGGCAUCUGAAAUGCAUCAUGCCCCGAACAAAUCCUGACCUCUCCUUCAGAACCUGUCUCCCUCCACUGUUUGCCAUCUCAGUAAAUAGCACCACCUUGCAACCAGAUUGAAAAACAGGCACCCUCGUAACUGCGCACCAGAGAUCUUGGAGUCACCUUGACCCCCCUCUUUCUGUCUCACCCCACAUCCAACUCACCCGAGUAUCCUGUUGUCUGUCUUCAAAACCUCUCCAGGGCCCGGCUCCUCCCCGCCUCCUCUUCUACCACCUGCCUUGGCCAGGCAAGCUCCUCUCAUCUGGAUGACUGCGGAGGCUUCUGAGUUAAAUGAACAAAUGAAUAAAUGCUAUGAGUGUUGAAAUUAGCGAUAUGAAAUAUAAAUGUGUUAUGCCCGAGGACGCCAUCUGAAAUGUAAUUGAACAUUUUUCUCUGCAGGCUGCAGAUGAAGCUUUAAUCUCCCUCAUACAUCUCCGUUGCUGUAAAUUCCUGCUCUAUUAUGGUACCAUAUGCCGUGAUUCCCUGGGAGAAAGCCACAGUAAGCUUGGCGGUGAGCUUGGGCUUCUGAGCUGUUUGUGCCGCGUGUUGAAUCACAUAUUAUCUCACACUUAAAGGUAUGUCUUAAUAAGCUCUUUUAUAUCAGUUUAUUAGCCAUGAUCCUGCAGUUGAUCAGUUAUGUCAUGGAAGGGUACCACGGAGCUCACUGACAAUUACGGGAUGUAAGAGGCAGAAGGAAAGUUAGGCUUGAAACACAACAGAGCGCAGUUCAUCUGAUGGUCUAGCAGCUGCCGAUUCGCCUUCUCAUCUGUUUCUAAGUAAUAGAUAUUGAUGCUUCUCUGCGCAGAGCAGACCUACUGUACAUGCAGUUGCCCACAGUGCACAGAAUGGCAUUUUUUCAAAAUCCUUUCCAGCUCACUGUUAAAGGCACAAUGUCAGAUGUCAGGACCCACAAGGGUUACUCUUGGAGCUAAGCCACACCAUCAUUGUUCCUCACACUGUGCUCUUUCUGGGAGAAAGAAACAUGUUCGCCUUUUGCCUCAUUUCCCUCCCAAAGCAACUGACCAAGUUCUGAAACCACUCUUAGGUGGAAAAAAAACCCUCAGGUCCUGUAUCCUUUAUGAUGACAGCUGUCAUCUGUGCCUGGUGGGAAAGGGGGGCCAACAGGAAACAUUUAGAAAACAGUUUUUCACCUAAAACCCGUCAUGGAGUCUUUGACUUCAGAAGCAGUUCCACUCAAGCUUCUGUGGCCAGCUUCUUUCUGAGGAUGAUCUCCAUGCCACAGGGCGAGGGUACCACCAUGCUACCCUGACUAGGACCUCCUUCUCCUAGCUGGAAAGCUAACAGGCACAGGGCCAGUCUAAGAGCUUCCCAGGCCCCAGAGCCUUCUUCUUUUGGAUCCCCUACACAAAAAAUGUCAAAAAAAUGGAAAUGCACCCCUAUCCCACAUCAUGAUAAUGUAUAAAUAAAUAAUAAAUGACAAUAUGGGCAUGGAAACUAGUUGAUGUAUUAUGUCUCCUCAAGUGUAUUAAUCCUGACAUUGCAUUGUUUUCUCUGUAGCUUUGUGCUGAUACAUGUUUUCCUCCUAGGCUGUGUACAUGGCCUUGGGUCUUUGGAGCUCUCUGAAUUCUGAGCCCUGCUCCUUGAGGGGAGGGAGGGGGGCGGGGAGUGGAGAGGACUUGGUGCAGAGAGGAUGGAUGCUGAAUGGUUGGGGGCCAAGAUGAAGUUUGAUCCUAGCCCUCACCUGUCUGGUCCAAAGAGAACCAACCUCAGAGGAAAUUAAGAGGGCCCUUACCUGUCCUUAAAUAAAGCCAGAAAGAUUCUCACCUGUUUGUAAAAAAGGUGCAGAGAACGGGAAUACCUUUUCUAGUAACAUGCUCAUUCAUUCAUUCAUUCAUUCAUCCCCUCAUUCAAAAAGCAUUGUUUUGGAAACCCUACUAAGUGCCAAGCCUAGUGCUCGGCAUUUGGGAAAUAAAGGCAGGUAAGAUGCAGUGCCUGUCCUCAGGAGCACAGAGUUCGUCAGUCCCUCUGUCCUGGGGCUGCUCUUGGUCAGCCUUCCAGGACCCACCCUUGCCUCCAUAGCUUCCACAGAAUAUUCCUGGCUGUUAUGAGCUGAGUUGUGUCCUCUAGAAAUUCCUAUAUUGAAAUCCUAACUCCCAGUGCCUCAGAAUGUGACUAUAUUUGGAGAUGGGGCCUUUAAAGAGGUGAUUAAGGUUGAAUGAGGUCAUUAGGAUGGGCCCCAAUCCAAUAUGAAUGAUGUCCUUGUAAGAAGAGAUUAGGACACAGAUACACACAGAGGGAGACCACGUGGAGACGCUCGGAGACGAUGACCACCUACAAGCCGAGGAGAGAGGCCACAGAAGAAACCAACCCUGUUGACACCUUGAAUUCAGACUUCUAGCUUUCAGAACUGUGAGAGGAUAAAUUUCUGUACUCUUGUUGCAGCAGCCCUAGCAAACUAAUGCACCGGUUCCAUAGGAGGCCCAGAAGACUCCCUUGAACCUUUCUCAAGAGAAGAAAGAAAAGACACUCAGCCAGCCCCUCCCCGACCUGGUGGGAGCUUCUGCCAAAGGGCAGCCUUACUGUGCACUUACCCCAAAGCCCCUCAGCCUCAUUUCUCCUCAGUCUGCUUCCUUCAGGUGCAGACACAUCAGCGGGGUUUGGGGAGUUUGCUGAGAAUGCAGGGGAGCAGGGUUAGGGGCUCCCUUUCCUCAGUCACAGUGAUUUUUCUCUCUAGAACUUCCUGUGUGUUGUUCUUUGGGGGAGGGACUUUCACUCUGCUGCAUCUACCCAGGCUCUGGGGGACAUUCAGUCCUCAUUUUGCUUUUCUUCAUCUUUUUUUAAAAAUUAUUUAUUUAUUUAUUUGGCCAUGCCAGCUCUUAGUUGCGGCAUGCGGGAUCUUUAGUUGUGGCAUGCGUACUCUUAGUUGAGGCAUGCGUACUCUUAGUUGAGGCAUGAAUGCAGGUUCUAGUUUCCCAACCAUGGAUCAAACCCGGGCCCCCUGCAUUGGGAGCUUGGAGUCUUAACCACUGGACUGCCGGGUAUGUCCAAGGACUGAUUUUGAAUAGUAAGGAGCAGCAAAACUCUG